UCCCGGUUAACCCGGGCAGUCUCGUUAGAGUUCCCAGCAUUACCUGUUGGCAACUAACGACAAGGGUUGCGCUCGUUGCGGGACUUAACCCAACACCUCACGGCACGAGCUGACGACAGCCAUGCAGCACCUGUGCAGCGGUCCCGAAGGAAAACAGCAUUUCUGCUGCCGUCCGCUGCAUGUCAAGUCUAGGUAAGGUUCUUCGCGUUGCAUCGAAUUAAACCACAUGCUCCACUGCUUGUGCGGGUCCCCGUCAAUUCUUUUGAGUUUCACCCUUGCGAGCGUACUCCCCAGGCGGUGUACUUAACGCGUUAGCUACGGCACAGCCGGGGUUGAGACCGGCUACACCAAGUACACAUCGUUUACGGCUAGGACUAC
rnacentral:misc_RNA from 1 species